rnacentral:lncRNA from 1 species
GGGACGAUGAUUGAUCUGGUAAGAUUGAUGUGUGUGUCGCUUCCCUUGUGGGAUGACGAAUCUCGAGUCAUCAGUGUGGGGACACUGGAGCGAACAUGCAGGUGGUUGUUGGAGAACAAGGGUACUGAGCGUGACCAACUACGAACAGUUACAUGGAUGUCUACUCAUUCGUCAGUAACUGGUUCGAUGUUGCAGUGGUACAACUGAUCCUUAGACCUGCGACACCACGGCCAUUCAAUAUGAGGCUACUGUAGUUUGACUAUGCAACAAACUCUGAUCCUAGCCAUGGGUCUUAGUAGUAUAUGUUGGCUGCAGUCGGUUUAUAUCAGGAAUGGGUGUGUGUUUAUUGGGGAUCUAUCGCUCUCGGUAGAGAGAUAAUUAGUUCUAUGCAAUUUGUACGGCAAAGCUCAGAAAUCCUCGGCCGGGGUAAUAUGGUGUAUGGAAAGACGUUUCCAAGAGUAACCAUAAGAGCUUCUGUCAGAUCAAAUUUGUCAUAUGACGGGUGAUGGGGUUUGACGAAUAUUCCAUGACCUCCACUCAGUUGGAACUAUGCGAUAGAAGGAUUGUAUUGUACGGUAACUGCACCUAGAGGUUCAGUCUGAUAUUCACUUCUGACCGGAUUGGCACUACAUGCUGCUAGGCGUCACUGGUGGAUUGUGGGAACCAAUAGAAAUAAUUAUUAACAAUUAAUUAUUCUAUUAGGGUAAAGUCAAAAGAGUUUGAGCCAUCGAAAGGAGUUUCGAUGAUGAUGUAGAUGGGGAUUGCAUCAUAUCUCACUACCAGACAGAAUUGAACCUAUUAGGUCACACACAUAAGAAAUCACGCAUGAUCGAUAUUUAGGAAACAAUAAAAGAAGUUUAUCAGAUAGAUUAAUUACAAUUAUAAUAUAGUUAAAUACUAAAGUUUACUAAUUUAUUAGUAAAAGGACUAAUUUGUAAUUUUUAUAAAUUAGAGAGGUAUUUAUGUGUAAAAGUUGCAUGGUGUAUUUACUAAUCGUUAGUAAAUAAUAUGAGGACUUAUGUGUAAAUGUUACACACGAAUCGAAUUAGAAUUAGGAUUCGGAAUUUGGUUAAUAUCAUAACCAACUUAUGGGUUAAUGGAUAAUCUAAUCGGAAUAGGAUUUCGAUUAGGAUUACGUUAGGGUUUUCUCAUUAUAAAUAUAUGUCAUAUGACAUAUUAAAAUUAAUAGAAAAUUAAGCAAAAAGAAAACCCUAGCCGUCAAUCCUUUUUCUUUCUUAAGUCAUCCACAAUAAAUCCAUCGGU